CCUGAAACAUUCCAUUCUUUUCCAUUCUAUUCCAGGAAUAGCCCUUGCUUAUUUUUAGAUUGUUACAUAAGAAGUAUAAAAUCCAUUUGCUUUAGUGGGAGUUUUUCCCUUUUUUGUAAAAAAAGUAGUACCCAAUAAAGGAAUCUAUUGUGAAAUUCCAAGUAGCGUUGUUUUAAAUGUAAAACUGGGAAAACUUGGAGAGAAUAGAAAAGAGAAAAAAGUGGUCCCAGUGCUUUAGGUGCUAUUAGCACUUUGGUGUGCCUUUUUGUUGUUUUUCUAAUAUUUUUAACAUACUGUACCUUCUAGAGAUAAAAUUUAUGUCCUGCGUUUCUUCUAACAUAUCUGCUCUAAAGAGUCAGCAGGCAAGUGUUGCAGCACAACUGGGUGUUAGAUACUAAAGUUACAGAGAGAAAUUGUUUUUCUUUACCCCUCGCUUUCAAUCCAUACUACAGCUCCAUUGGUUUGAGCUUUUCUGAUUUUAUGACUAUUAAAUAACUUCCAGUUGCCCAAAAUAAAGUUUACUGGCUUGUAACCAUGAAAAUGUGUCCGUUAAGUUGGACCUUGCAUGAGGUAGAUGUUAUUUCUAAUGAUGGAUAUUCAUUGAUAUUAACUGAUCAGAAGAGCGU